rnacentral:lncRNA from 1 species
UGCAAACAUGUACCUAGUAAUAACGCAAAUGGGAGUACAACCAAGAAAAUUAUAGCACUUAGUUUAUAAGUUAUUCAGUGACUUAAUUUGGUCCACAUUACUUUAUGUUUGCUGUUAAAAGCCUCAAGGAGAUUACAUAGAGCUUCAUAGGAAGAGAAAUGGAUACCGCCCUGAUCAUUUUGAGAGGAAGCGAAAGAAGGAAGCUCGUGAAGUUCACAAGCGUUCUAAAGUUGCCCAAACGGCUUUAGGAAUAAAAGGGUAAGAUGUUUGCUAAGAAACGAUAUGCAGAGAAAGCUCAAAUGAAGAAGACGUUAGUACAUGUUCAACUUUAUCUAUUUUUUUUUGUUUUUUUUAAACAGUAAGGUGAAGAUAUGGAAGUUGCCCGUUUUUAUUUACAGAGUGUUACUCUUUU